AUGAAGAACGCAGCGAAAUGCGAUAAGUAAUGUGAAUUGCAGAAUUCAGUGAAUCAUCGAAUCUUUGAACGCACCUUGCGCUCCUUGGUAUUCCGAGGAGCAUGCCUGUUUGAGUGUCAUGAAAUUCUCAACCUUUUCAGCUUUCUUUGUUGAUCAGGCUUGGAUGUGGGAGUAUGCGGGCUUCUCAGAAGUCGGCUCUCCUGAAAUGCAUUAGCGGGACCUUUGUUGCCUGGCUUUGGUGUGAUAAUUAUCUACGCCAUUGUAGUCAAGCAGCUUAAAAUGAGGUUUCAGCUUCUAACCGUCUCCCCUGAGACAACUUUUUGACAAUUUGACCUCAAAUCAGGUAGGACUACCCGCUGAACUUAAGCAUAUCAAUAAGCGGAGGA
rnacentral:misc_RNA from 1 species